rnacentral:tRNA from 1 species
GAGAGUGUAGCUCAGCGGUAGAGCACAUGCUUAGUAUGCAGGACGUCCUGGGUUCAAUCCCCAGUACCUCCA